rnacentral:rRNA from 1 species
CAAUAGCGUAUAUUUAAGUUGUUGCAGUUAAAAAGCUCGUAGUUGGAUUUCGGUUGAGAACGGCCGGUCCGCCGUUUGGUGUGCACUGGCUGGUUUCAACUUCCUGUAGAGGACGUGCUCUGGCUUCACGGCUGGACGCGGAGUCUACGUGGUUACUUUGAAAAAAUUAGAGUGUUCAAAGCGGGCUUACGCUUGAAUAUUUCAGCAUGGAAUAACACUAUAGGACUCCUGUCCUAUUUCAUUGGUCUCGGGACGGGAGUAAUGAUUAAGAGGAACAGUUGGGGGCAUUCGUAUUUCAUUGUCAGAGGUGAAAUUCUUGGAUUUAUGAAAGACGAACUUCUGCGAAAGCAUUUGCCAAGGAUGUUUUCAUUAA